rnacentral:lncRNA from 1 species
GGAACACUCUCGGCCCUCUUCAGCCACUCCCUCCCCAACCCACACGCCAUCAACCUCCAGACCCUCUCGCCGUGGCUUAGAGGUGUCUCUGACAACGUGGCACACUGGGAAGGCCUUCUUUCCUGCUACCAAUACAAAUGCAUUCUGAAUUUGAUAUGUCAUUAAAUGUAAAAAUACAGCCAAUUUGAAACAAGCAAAUGGAAAUUCCCAGGAACCAAAAACAGAAAGAAAAAUCAGAGCUACCGCAGUGCUGUCCCUGCAGACAGAAUUUGGGAGAGGUACUCAGAGUCACCUCCUGUGAGCCUAUGCAAGCCAGCUCCUGCACAACCCUGGUUUUAGUCCAGGUAAAGGCCCGCCCAGCCUUCUGCAGAAUUCCACAUUAAACAGGAUGAAGAAUAGGUUGUUAGCAGACUGAGGUACUUGGGGCAACAUUUCGUACACAACAGGAGGGAGAAACGACUCCAGGUUGUCUUGUGGUAGAGGAGAUUUUGCCUUGCAAUUUUACAUACUUAUGCUACGUGGAAGGCUGGGUGGCGUGACUUCAGAAAAAUGUUUCCUCAGGAAAGAGACACACAGAGAGAGAGAGAAAGAGAGAAAGAGAGAACCCACCUACCUGUUUUGCAAAAGUCUCAUGAAUCAUCCCUUCCUGUGGUCCUGCUCCCUGAGAUCCUUUCACCGCUCACAGUGGGCUACUUCUAAGAGCGUGCCUGGCACAGGGUCACUGAGAGCAUAGUCUUAAUAAAACAAUGAUGGAUGCUUGUCUCUCUCA